GAUGAACGCUGGCGGCGUGCCUAACACAUGCAAGUCGAACGGAAAGACGGUGAGAUUGUGCCUUUAACGUUGGCGGCGGGCGGGCGAGUGACACGUGGAUCAGCAUCUUCUAUUUCGGGGAGAAUUACGGAAGACAGGAUACAAUAAUAGAGAAUAUAUUGAACCGGUGGGUUCAAUGGAGAUUGGCGGCUUUGGCGUCUGAAUUAGCUGGUGCCGCAUUAGCUAGUUGGGUGGGUAAGGGCCCACCAAGGCGACGAUACGUAGCCGACCUGAGAGGAUGAUCGGCCACACUGGAACUGAGACACGGUCCAGACUCCUACGGGAGGCAGCAGUAGGGAAUCUUCGGCAAUGGGCGAAAGCCUGACGCAGCAACGCCGCGUGAGUGAUGAAGGUCUUCGGGUCGUAAAGCCCUUUUAUUGGGGAAGAACAGCUGUGGAAGUAAACAUGGCCGUCUUGACGGUACCUAAUCAAAAAGCAACGGCUAACUACGUG
rnacentral:rRNA from 1 species